CACCGGCUAAGGGAGUGUGGAUGCUUCCAGCCUCCAAAGGGGAUGCAAAAUCCAGACAUCCCCUGCCCAUUCCACGCUGCUCUCCUUGCUAAUUCCCAGGAUAAAACAGCUGCAAGUUUCUCCGAGUCAGGUGCUCUCCACAUCCCUGAG